rnacentral:rRNA from 1 species
UACGUAGGCAGCAAGCGUUGUUCGGAAUUACUGGGCGUAAAGAGUGUGUAGGCGGUGCUCUAAGUUCGGUGUGAAAUCUCCCGGCUCAACUGGGAGGGUGCGCCGGAAACUGGAGUGCUGGAGCGCGGGAGAGGAAAGCGGAAUUCCUGGUGUAGCGGUGAAAUGCGUAGAUAUCAGGAGGAACACCGGCGGUGUAGACGGCUUUCUUGACCGUAGCUGACGCUGAGACACGAAAGCGUGGGUAGCAAACAGG